GGCGAACGCUGGCGGCGUGCUUAACACAUGCAAGUCGAACGGAAAGGCCCUGCUUUUGUGGGGUGCUCGAGUGGCGAACGGGUGAGUAACACGUGAGUAACCUGCCCUUGACUUUGGGAUAACUUCAGGAAACUGGGGCUAAUACCGGAUAGGAGCUCCUGCUGCAUGGUGGGGGUUGGAAAGUUUCGGCGGUUGGGGAUGGACUCGCGGCUUAUCAGCUUGUUGGUGGGGUAGUGGCUUACCAAGGCUUUGACGGGUAGCCGGCCUGAGAGGGUGACCGGCCACAUUGGGACUGAGAUACGGCCCAGACUCCUACGGGAGGCAGCAGUGGGGAAUAUUGCACAAUGGGCGGAAGCCUGAUGCAGCAACGCCGCGUGCGGGAUGACGGCCUUCGGGUUGUAAACCGCUUUCGCAUGUGACGAAGCGUGAGUGACGGUAAUGGGUAAAGAAGCACCGGCUAACUACGUG
rnacentral:rRNA from 1 species